rnacentral:lncRNA from 1 species
AGGAGCACCUCACUGUCUCCCUCUGCCCACCCACCUGCACCUGACAGCUGUGGGCUGUGCUCUCAGGGAGGCACCGUCAGAUGCUACCAGACUACAGAGGAGAGCACCCUCAAUCCUGACUGAAGGCAAAGGGAAGAGAGGUCAUCCAGGACAAAAGUACAGAAUGAAAAGAAAAAGCAACUAAGCACGAAAUCUUGGAGAAUGUCCUCAUUGAAGGGUCCUGAGCACCAAGGGUACAGUCAGAAAUGAUGAAUCCAGAAAUGAUGCCCUCCAGAACUUCUGGUGAGGAAGGCACUCAGGAAAAUGCAGCACCCUAUGGAGGCCCAGAAAGGAGGGCAUUCAGGAAGAACACAGUCUGAUGGUGUCAAGUGCAGCGGAGGCUAAGAGCCUCAGUGCCUCCUUCAGAGAUGCGGUGGAUAUUAGCUUCUGUUGUAUCCUUCAUACAGAACCUGGUGCUGAGAGACAGCUUCUUCUUUUUUUUUUUUUCUUUAAACUUUUCUUAAGACUAGUCAAGUACAGUAUCAAGAAGACGGGAAAGAGUAGAACAAGGAAUUGGAUCCGUAACUGACUGUGAACAAUCAAUUGAGGUAACUCAUUACCUUUGAACCAACCUGGGAGGCAGCCUUGUGACUCACCUCAAUCCUCAAUCUUCUCAGCUAGUUCACUUUGGCCUGGCUCAGGGGCUGACCUAGAAUGAUCCUGUCCAGAAGGACCCUGGAUGUUCUUAGAGACACAGACUGCUAGGGCUGGCAGGGACUUUUCAUCCAAUUCCUCUGUGACAGAGGAGGAAGUGGAGGUGCAGAAGGAGAGGUGAGCUGCCUGUGGUCCUUCAGCUUACUAAUGGCAGUGUUAGGACUGGACCUGAGGGCUCUUCCCUCCAGUCCGGCGCUAUUUAUUCCAUGACAGUGCCUCUCAAACUGUGUUCUCACAAGCAGCUAGUGCUCAGGCAGCUGGACUGAGGCCCUGCCUGCCAAAUCAAAUAUUGGAGGUCUUUCUCCAAUGUGCAGAAAAAAAAA